rnacentral:snoRNA from 1 species
AAGCAUUGAAAAGGGACGGUUUUUCUAAUUAGAACAUUCCGUAUAAUUUUGGUGCAAUAGCAUAGAGAGCCGCAGUGUUACUCUUCUUUACAAAUCCUGUAUCUGGAGAGUGUCAAGCGGUUCCCACAAUC